GACGAACGCUGGCGGCGUGCCUAAUACAUGCAAGUAGAACGCACAGUUUAUACCGUAGCUUGCUACACCAUAGACUGUGAGUUGCGAACGGGUGAGUAACGCGUAGGUAACCUGCCUGGUAGCGGGGGAUAACUAUUGGAAACGAUAGCUAAUACCGCAUAAUAUUGAUUAUUGCAUGAUAAUUAAUUGAAAGGUGCAAUUGCACCACUACCAGAUGGACCUGCGUUGUAUUAGCUAGUAGGUGAGGUAACGGCUCACCUAGGCGACGAUACAUAGCCGACCUGAGAGGGGGAUCGGCCACACUGGACUGAGACACGGCCCAGACUCCUACGGGAGGCAGCAGUAGGGAAUCUUCGGCAAUGGACGAAAGUCUGACCGAGCAACGCCGCGUGAGUGAAGAAGGUUUUCGGAUCGUAAAGCUCUGUUGUAAGAGAAGAACGGGUGUGAGAGUGGAAAGUUCACACUGUGACGGUAUCUUACCAGAAAGGGACGGCUAACUACGUG
rnacentral:rRNA from 1 species